GAUGAACGCUAGCGGCAGGCCUAACACAUGCAAAUCGAGGGGUAACUAGAGUGAUAGCAAUAUUACUUUGGCUAGACCGGCGCACGGGUGCGUAACACGUAUGCAACCCACCUUAUACUGGGGAAUAACUUCGAGGAAUCGGCGCUAAUACCCCAUAACAUUGCGAAGAGGCAUCUCUUUGCAAUUAAAGCUCCGGCGGUAUAAGAUGGGCAUGCGUCCAAUUAGCUAGUUGGUGAGGUAACGGCUCACCAAGGCUACGAUUGGUAGGGGUUCUGUGAGGAUGAUCCCCCACACUGGUACUGAGACACGGACCAGACUCCUACGGGAGGCAGCAGUGAGGAAUAUUGCGCAAUGGACGAAAGUCUGACGCAGCCAUGCCGCGUGCAGGAUGACGGCCCUAUGGGUUGUAAACUGCUUUUGUACGGGAAUAAACCCUUCUACGUGUAGGAGGCUGAAGGUACCGUAAGAAUAAGCACCGGCUAACUCCGUGCCAGCCGCCGCCGUAAUAC
rnacentral:rRNA from 1 species